CCUACGGGUGGCAGCAGUGGGGAAUAUUGGACAAUGGGGGAAACCCUGAUCCAGCGACGCCGCGUGAAUGAUGAAGGCCUUAGGGUUGUAAAGUUCUUUCGUCCGUGACGAUGAUGACAGUAGCGGAAGAAGAAGCUCCGGCUAACUUCGUGCCAGCAGCCGCGGUAAUACGAAGGGGGCUAGCGUUGCUCGGAAUUACUGGGCGUAAAGCGCACGUAGGCGGCGAUUCGAGUCAGAUGUGAAAGGCCUGGGCUUAACCCGGGAACUGCAUUUGAUACUGAAUUGCUAGAGUCCAAGAGAGGGUAGUGGAAUUCCCAGUGUAGAGGUGAAAUUCGUAGAUAUUGGGAAGAACACCAGUGGCGAAGGCGGCUACCUGGCUUGGUACUGACGCUCAGGUGCGAAAGCGUGGGGAGCGAACAGGAUUAGAUACCCCGGUAGUC
rnacentral:rRNA from 1 species